CUUCGCUCCUCACGACGCCCCCUCCUCUCCCCGCCGCCGCCCACGACGGCAUCUCCUCGCCUCCCUCAACUUCGGGCGUUCUUCUUCCAUCCAGCCUAAGUCGAGCCUCGCGAGGGAUUCCGACACGGGUGGGGAUCAAUCCGAGGCGAUGCUUGCCAGUGAUCCGGCGCAGGAGGGGAUCAACCCGAGGCGACGCGUGCGAGGAUGCGAUGUUCAACAGGAUCCCGCCGGUAGCAGAUGUGCGACGUCUCAUCUUCCCCGUCACCGUUGCUCCUAGCUGCAGCCACUCGUGCACGUCACCGCCAGGUUUAGUUCAAUCGCUUUUGUAUAUGAGACACUGUCUGAUGCUUAGAUUCAGUGCGCCACUAGCCUCAAGGGAGAUUUGGAGGAGGCCGAGGCUUGGAACACCGAAGACAUGUGCUUGCGUCAGCUUGAUGCCACUCCGCCACUGCAGGUUAUUCGCAUAGAUUCAGCCGCUCUCCUAUCAUUUUGUUCAUCAAAAAUGAUUGUCGGAUAUCACUUGCAGUUCUAUAUAAUAUGACAAUUCUGGUAUUCAUUGCUCCCAGUUGCUUGAGGCAAAUAAUUAGAUUAGUACAUUUGGUGGAGUUGUACGAUGUGAAAGAACAAUGUUUGUUUCUAUCAGUUAGAAGCUGAAGAAUACAUCUAAACUCAAUGAUGUCAAGAAUACAAAUUAGUGAUAGAGAUGUACGGAUUGAUGAUUCCAUUAGAUUCCAAGAACAUUUCAGUGGCUCCUUUUUUUUACUAUGUAUAUGUAGUUGGCCGUACAAACAAUUCUUUAUGUCUUGCAAAUGUAGUGUGAAAUUCCAAUAUAAAUAUCCAUUUACUGUGUCCUUUCCGGCACACAAUAGUGUAGUUUAAGAAAGAGGAUAAAUGUUCCAAAAGAGCUGGUAACUUUCUCAAUUAUGUAGAUUAUUAGGAGAUAUGAAGGAAGUUUGAGUGGAUGAGUUAUAUCCUAUCCAAGAUACCUGGUGUACACUUAUCCUGCAAUUAUCCGUCGCUGGCGAGUGGCGUACAUCAGUCGCCAUUAAGGCGGAUUACCAUGGUCGGCUGGAUUGACCUUCCCCCGAUUCACCUGCAUCACGCAUCUCGGCUUGAUCGACUGGAUACCAUAAAGCGCUGGAUUCCUUCGGGUGCCUUGCCGCAGCUGAAUCUCCUCGAGCACGUUGUCUCCCUCCCGCACUGGAUCCCCUCGGAUAUUUGAAUAUCAUUCCGGUCUUAAAUUAUGUUCCUGGAGAGAAAUACAGGAAACUGAGGUACUGCUACGCUGCCUGAUCUUCUUUGUCCCCAACGGAUCUCCUCUCACAUGAUCUUGCGACGGUCGACGUGCAGAAUUGAGAGGACUUGAAUGUGGUAAGGACCUCUACUACAUCGGCUAACACAGCAGCAAGGAUUCACUUACUCAGUAUUAUCCAUUGCUCCAGCCCUAUAUAACCUUGCAGGUUAGGUUAUAUCGAUGAAUAUUAUUAAAAAAAUCUUCAUACAUUACAACAAUGUGAUUUAUUUCUGGUUCCAUAACAUCUAUUUGUGGUCUGCACUCUGGAAUAUGCUUGCAACAAUCGAGUAAAAGGAAUACUUACUGAAGUGGCCAGCAUUUCCGUCAACUGUGGUAUUUGAUCUUUACUACCACCAGUGUUUUUCAGGUCAUCUUCAGAGCGCCUACUUGGAUCCGUGCGUGGUCUUUACUCAGCCAUGCGGACCACGGGGCGCAUAUGUAUAUUGGGUGCAGCCGAUGGGAGAUGGUUGCACGGGAUACAUACAACCGGUUUGGAUGGCGGUCCAAUAAUAGGAUGGGCGUUUAGUCUCCGAAUCCUACUUUCGCCAGUUGUGGCUUUUAUUUUCAGCCGGUUGUGGCUUUUAUUUAUUUUCCAAGACUUUUUGUUUCGUUUUGAGACUACUGGUUGGAACCUUUUGGAUCUUUUUUUUCAAUAAAUGGCUGUGUGCAUCAAGAGAUGCAGAGGCCGGGGGUACGCCUCCUUUUCGAAAAAAAAAGAUGAACCAAUUAAGAACAUGGUCUGGCAAUAUUCUUAAUCGUGUAACUGCUAUCG